UACGAAGGGGGCUAGCGUUGCUCGGAAUCACUGGGCGUAAAGCGCACGUAGGCGGCUUCUUAAGUCAGGGGUGAAAUCCUGGAGCUCAACUCCAGAACUGCCUUUGAUACUGAGGAGCUUGAGUCCGGAAGAGGUGAGUGGAACUGCGAGUGUAGAGGUGAAAUUCGUAGAUAUUCGCAAGAACACCAGUGGCGAAGGCGGCUCACUGGCCCGGUACUGACGCUGAGGUGCGAAAGCGUGGGGAGCAAACAGG
rnacentral:rRNA from 1 species